AGGGUUUGAUCAUGGCUCAGGAUGAACGCUAGCGGCAGGCUUAACACAUGCAAGUCGAGGGGUAACAGGGAUUGCUUGCAAUCCGCUGACGACCGGCGCACGGGUGCGUAACGCGUAUGCAACCUACCUUUUACUGGGGGAUAGUCAAGAGAAAUUUUGAAUAAUACCCCAUACGAUCUGAUUCACUCCUGUGAAACAGAAGAAAAUUCCGAUGGUAAAAGAUGGGCAUGCGUCCUAUUAGUUUGUUGGUGAGGUAACGGCUCACCAAGACUACGAUAGGUAGGGGUCCUGAGAGGGAGAUCCCCCACACUGGUACUGAGACACGGACCAGACUCCUACGGGAGGCAGCAGUGAGGAAUAUUGGGCAAUGGAGGCAGCUCUGAUCCAGCCAUGCCGCGUGCAGGAAGACGGCCCUAUGGGUUGUAAACUGCUUUUAUACAGGAAGAAACGUUAGUACGUGUACUAGCCUGACGGUACUGUAAGAAUAAGGAUCGGCUAACUCCGUGCCAGCCGCCGCGGUAAUACA
rnacentral:rRNA from 1 species